rnacentral:misc_RNA from 1 species
GCCGGCGGAAGAUCGGCAGGUCCUUCAUUCACAUGCGGUAUUUCGUGCUUGAAUCUCGGUUGCUUGCGUAUUAUAAGAAGAAGCCCCAGGAUAAUCAAGUUCCAAUUAAGACCAUGCUAAUAGAUGGAAACUGUAGAGUGGAGGAUCGUGGCUUGAAGACGCACCAUGGACAUAUGGUUUACGUCUUGUCUGUUUACAACAAGAAAGAGAAGUACCAUCGAAUUACGAUGGCGG